GCGGCGUGCUUCAUACAUGCAAGUCGAACGAGAAGCAGGAGCUUGCUCCUGUGGAAAGUGGCGGACGGGUGAGUAACACGUAGGAAAUCUGCCUUUGGGUGGGGGACAACAGUUGGAAACGACUGCUAAUACCCCAUAUGAGCUUGGUUGCAAUACCAAUCUUGAAAACUCCGGUGCCUAAAGAUGAGCCUGCGUCUGAUUAGCUUGUUGGCGGGGUAAUGGCCCACCAAGGCGACGAUCAGUAGCUGGUUUGAGAGGAUGAUUAGCCAAAAUGGGACUGAGACACGGCCCAUACUCCUACGGGAGGCAGCAGUAGGGAAUUUUGCGCAACGGGGGAAACCCUGACGCAGCAACGCCGCGUGAAUGACGAAGCCCUUCGGGGUGUAAAGUUCUGUCAGUAGGGAAGAAUUUUGACUGUACCUACAAAGGAAGCACCGGCUAACUCCGUGCCAGCCGCCGCAGUAA
rnacentral:rRNA from 1 species